rnacentral:lncRNA from 1 species
UUAGCAUUCUCCCUAAAGCUCAAUCCAUUCAUUGAGAGAUCCGUGUCCUGAAAUUGUUUGAACCCUCUUGAUUCUCAAAACCUUUUUCUGCCUAGCCAAGUGAGUUUGUUAAACCUUGCAUAACCAGAUUCAUAUUCUUGAGUAAUGAAUGUUAAAAGGAAUGAAUGAUUUGAAUGCAUGUGUAGAUGAAGGGAUAGAAUCAGUUUCAGAUUUGAUGAGUUUGUC